rnacentral:sRNA from 1 species
GCGAUGAGCUGAAUUGUGUAAGUCGAUAGACAUACCUUUAUGGUUAAAUGUACGAUGUGGCGUGCAGUCUAUCGCCUCAAUAUACGCAAAGGACGUCUUUUAGACGUCCUU